rnacentral:rRNA from 1 species
UACGUAGGGUGCGAGCGUUGUUCGGAUUCAUUGGGCGUAAAGGGUGCGUAGGCGGCGCGGUAAGUCGGGUGUGAAAUCUCGGAGCUUAACUCCGAAACUGCAUUCGAUACUGCCGUGCUUGAGGACUGGAGAGGAGACUGGAAUUUACGGUGUAGCGGUGAAAUGCGUAGAUAUCGUAAGGAAGACCAGUGGCGAAGGCGGGUCUCUGGACAGUUCCUGACGCUGAGACGCGAAAGCGUGGGGAGCGAACAGG